rnacentral:rRNA from 1 species
CAUUACUGAGUACUACACUCUCUACCCUUUGUGAACUAUUAUACCUGUUGCUUCGGCGGCGCCCGCAAGGGUGCCCGCCGGUCUCAUCAGAAUCUCUGUUUUCGAACCCGACGAUACUUCUGAGUGUUCUUAGCGAACUGUCAAAACUUUUAACAACGGAUCUCUUGGCUCCAGCAUCGAUGAAGAACGCAGCGAAACGCGAUAUGUAAUGUGAAUUGCAGAAUUCAGUGAAUCAUCGAAUCUUUGAACGCACAUGGCGCCUUCCAGUAUCCUGGGAGGCAUGCCUGUCCGAGCGUCGUUUCAACCCUCGAGCCCCUGUGGCCCGGCGUUGGGGAUCUGCCACGGCAGGCCCCUAAAACCAGUGGCGGACCCGAAGGCCCUCUCCUUUGCGCAGUAGCAUCAGCCUCGCAUUGGGAUCCCUCGGCGUCCUGCCUCUAAACCCCCCACAAGUCCGCUCCGGCGGCACCAAGGUUGACCUCGGAUCAGGUAGGAAUACCCGCUGAACUUAAGCAUAUC